UUAAUUUGUGCGCAUUAUAUUGGCUAUUUAUCUCCGAGUCUCUGAGCUCGACUUACGUGUUGAGGUCCAGCUCUGGUCUGGACUGGCCUGGGCUGGCCUUUGGCCCUCGAUAGCCUGCACUUGACAGUGAAUGACGAAAUAAUUUACCCAUAGUUAUGCAAUCGCUUUUUCUGACCCAGCCAUUCAACAAGUGACAACAAGUGCCGACAAGUUCGAUCUGAUAAUCUGUUUGUUUCUCUUUACCAUUGCAGAACGAUCCAAUCUCCUACUUUCUACCCCUGUAAAAAUAUAAACAGCGAUCUGUACAAUCGAUACCAGUAGCAUGCCUGAAGGCAUUCGAAAUGUUAUCGUAAAUUAUAGAAUGGAAUCCAUUAAUGCGCACAGACAUAGACAGAUAGAAGCAGAGGGAGCUGAAGAGGAAGAGCCAACAUUCAUAUAUUCAAAAUUCAUUUGCCCCUAAUUGUAUGCAAUGGAAAAUGUGCGUGCAAUUUAUGCAAACAAGCGUCGUCCGUGGGUGUGUGUGUGCUCUCUGAUUCCAUGUUUGCAAACGACUAUUUCUGCUACAUAUUUCAUAAAAUACAUAGUGCAUCUUCCGAGCGAGUUCCUGCUAAAACUGGCAUUUAAAUACGAUUUGGAAAGUUGCUCUUGCGAAACUUUUCCCAGAAUAUUUGACACAGCUCUCUAGCAAAUUGUUUGCUAGCUCUCUAAGUGGCCCCAAUCCAAAUUAAUUCAACCAAUAAAAUGGCAUAAAUUAUACAAA